rnacentral:rRNA from 1 species
AUCGAACGCUGGCGGCAGGCUUAACACAUGCAAGUCGAACGCCCCGCAAGGGGAGUGGCAGACGGGUGAGUAACGCGUGGGAAUCUACCCUGAUCUGCGGGAUAGCUCCGGGAAACUGGAAUUAAUACCGCAUAUGUCCUGAGGGACAAAGAUUGAUCGGUUCAGGAUGAGCCCGCGUCCGAUUAGCUAGUUGGUGGGGUAAAGGCCUACCAAGGCGACGAUCGGUAGCUGGUCUAAGAGGAUGAUCAGCCACAUUGGGACUGAGACACGGCCCAAACUCCUACGGGAGGCAGCAGUGGGGAAUAUUGGACAAUGGGCGCAAGCCUGAUCCAGCCAUGCCGCGUGAGUGAUGAAGGUCUUAGGAUUGUAAAGCUCUUUCACCGGGGACGAUAAUGACGGUACCCGGAGAAGAAGCCCCGGCUAACUUCGUGCCAGCAGCCGCCGUAA